AAUAUUGCGCAAUGGGGGGAACCCUGACGCAGCAACGCCGCGUGAGUGACGAAGGUUUUCGGAUCGUAAAGCUCUGUCAUCGGGGACGAAGAAGUGACGGUACCCGAGGAGGAAGCCCCGGCUAACUACGUGCCAGCAGCCGCGGUAAGACGUAGGGGGCGAGCGUUGUCCGGAAUUACGGGGCGUAAAGGGUGCGUAGGCGGCCAAUUAAGUCAGGUGUGAAAUACCACGGCUUAACCGUGGGACUGCAUUUGAAACUGGAGGGCUUGAGUAUCGGAGAGGGUAGUGGAAUUCCCAGUGUAGCGGUGGAAUGCGUAGAUAUUGGGAGGAACACCAGUGGCGAAGGCGACUACCUGGACGAAAACUGACGCUGAGGCACGAAAGCUAGGGGAGCAAACA
rnacentral:rRNA from 1 species